CUGAGACAAUUAUCACAUUUGUGUGAACCUUCUCAUUGUGUUUUGGCGGGGCGCUUUUAUAGCAAGCCGCCAAUCAUACAAAACUCAACCAUUAUUAUUUAUUCAGAUUAACUAUAAAUUAUACAAGCUUCAACGACGGAUCUCUUGGUUCUCGCAUCGAUGAAGAACGCAGCAAAGCGCGAUAGGUAAUGCGAAUUGCAGACGUGAGUCAUUGAAUCUUUGAACGCACAUUGCGCUGUUAGGUUCUCCUAACAGCAUGCCUGUGCGAGCGUCUAUCUUUCUCACCAAUGGUGGUUGCUGACGCUAUGCAGAGUGUCGAAAAGAAUGGAGAUGUACACGUUAGUGAAACUUGUACACCAAGCUUUCUUUAAAAGACCUCGUAUCAGGCAAGACUACCCGCUGAACUUAA
rnacentral:misc_RNA from 1 species